rnacentral:rRNA from 1 species
UACGUAGGGUGCAAGCGUUGUCCGGAAUUAUUGGGCGUAAAGAGCGUGUAGGCGGCCCGAUUAGUCCGCUGUGAAAGUCCAGGGCUCAACCCUGGAAUGCCGGUGGAUACUAUCGGCUAGAGUCCGGAAGGGCGAGUGGAAUUCCUGGUGUAGCGGUGAAAUGCGCAGAUAUCAGGAGGAACACCAAUGGCGAAGGCAGCUCGCUGGGACGUGACUGACGCUGAGACGCGAAAGCGUGGGAGCAACAGG